AGAGUUUGAUCCUGGCUCAGAUUGAACGCUGGCGGCGUGCCUAACACAUGCAAGUCGAGCGGUAACAGGUGUAGCAAUACAUGCUGACGAGCGGCGGACGGGUGAGUAGCGCUUGGGAAUCUGCCUGUUAGUGGGGGACAACCCGGGGAAACUCGGGCUAAUACCGCAUACGCACUACGGUGGAAAGCCGGGGACCGCAAGGCCUGGCGCUAACAGAUGAGCCCAAGUCGGAUUAGCUAGUUGGUAGGGUAACGGCCUACCAAGGCGACGAUCCGUAACUGGUCUGAGAGGACGACCAGUCACACCGGAACUGAGACACGGUCCGGACUCCUACGGGAGGCAGCAGUGGGGAAUAUUGGACAAUGGGCGAAAGCCUGAUCCAGCGACGCCGCGUGGGUGAAGAAGGCCUGCGGGUUGUAAAGCCCUUUCAGUGGGGAAGAAAAGCCUCGAGCUAAUACCUCGGGGUCUUGACGUAACCCAUAGAAGAAGCACCGGCUAACUCUGUGCCAGCAGCCGCGGUAAUACAGAGGGUGCAAGCGUUAAUCGGAAUUACUGGGCGUAAAGCGCGCGUAGGCGGCUUUGCAAGUCGGGUGUGAAAUCCCCAGGCUUAACCUGGGAACUGCAUUCGAGACUGCAUUGCUAGAGUAUGGGAGAGGGAAGUGGAAUUUCCGGUGUAGCGGUGAAAUGCGUAGAUAUCGGAAGGAACAUCAGUGGCGAAAGCGACUUCCUGGACCAAUACUGACGCUCAUGUGCGAAAGCGUGGGGAGCAAACAGGAUUAGAUACCCUGGUAGUCCACGCCAUAAACGAUGAGAACUGGAUGUCGGGAGGGUCUGCCUCUCGGUGUCGUAGCUAACGCGUUAAGUUCUCCGCCUGGGGAGUACGGCCGCAAGGUUGAAACUCAAAUGAAUUGACGG
rnacentral:rRNA from 1 species